AAAUAAGAAACAAAGCAUUGUAUUUAGUUUCGACCUAAACCUCUGGUGAAAUCCACCCUUAUUUA
rnacentral:tRNA from 1 species